rnacentral:rRNA from 1 species
CCUACGGGUGGCAGCAGUAGGGAAUCUUUCACAAUGGGCGAAAGCCUGAUGGAGCAACGCCGCGUGCAGGAUGAAGGCCUUCGGGUUGUAAACUGCUUUUAUAAGCGAGAAAUAUGAUGGUAACUUAUGAAUAAGGAUCGGCUAACUACGUGCCAGCUGCCGCGGUCACACGUAGGAGCCGAGCAUUAUCCGGAGUGACUGGGGGUAAAGAGUUGCGUAGGUGGCAUAAUAAGUAGCUAGUGAAAUCUGGUGGGUCAAACAUUCAGACUAUUAGCUAAACUGUUAAGCUCGAGACCGUUAGAGGUAAGUGGAAUUUGUGGUGUAGGAGUGAAAUGCGUAGAUAUUAGGAGGAACACCGAUAGCGUAGGCAGGUUGCUGGGACGGUUCUGACACUAAGGCACGAAAGCGUAGGGAGCAAACGGGAUUAGAUACCCGUGUAGUC